rnacentral:rRNA from 1 species
AGCCUAAUGAUUUUUAUAUUAGGUGAUUUCUGCUCCAUGAUUGAUUAAAUAGCCGCAGUACUUUGACUGUGCAAAGGUAGCAUAAUAAAUUGGCUUUUAAUUAAGGUCUAGAAUGAAUGAAUAUUUGGAUUUUAACUGUCUUAUAAAAUUUAAUAUAAACUUAUUGAUUAGGUGAAAAUCCCUAUAGUUAAUAUAAAAGACGAGAAGACCCUUGAAAUUUUUUUAAAAAAAAUAAAAUCUAUUUGCUUUUUUGUUGGGGCAACAAAGUUACAUCCUUAACUAACUUUAAUUAUAAAUUUAAGUAAGAUAUAUAUUUAGAAAAAAUAAAUUACUCUAGGGAUAACAGCAUAAUUUUUUAUUAGUUUGUGACCUCGAUGUUGGACUAGGAUAUUUUAAAUUUAAAAGAUUUAAAAAUUAGUUCUGUUCGAACUUUAUUUCCUACAUG